UUCGGGGAUCAUUGGGCGUAAGAGCUCGUAGGUGGUUUGCUACGUCUGCUGUGAAAACCUAGGGCUUAACCCUGGGCCUGCAGUGGAUACGGGCAGACUAGAGGUAGGUAGGGGAGAAUGGAAUUCCCGGUGUAGCGGUGAAAUGCGCAGAUAUCGGGAGGAACACCGGUGGCGAAGGCGGUUCUCUGGGCCUUACCUGACACUGAGGAGCGAAAGCGUGGGGAGCGAACAGGAUUAGAUACCCUGGUAGUCCACGCCGUAAACGUUGGGCGCUAGGUGUGGGGUCCUUCCACGGACUCCGUGCCGCAGCUAACGCAUUAAGCGCCCCGCCUGGGGAGUACGGCCGCAAGGCUAAAACUCAAAGGAAUUGACGGGGGCCCGCACAAGCGGCGGAGCAUAUUGCUUAAUUCGAUGCAACGCGAAGAACCUUACCAAGGUUUGACAUGCAGGGAAAAGCCAUAGAGAUAUGGUGUCCGUAAGGGCCCUGCACAGGUGGUGCAUGGCUGUCGUCAGCUCGUGUCGUGAGAUGUUGGGUUAAGUCCCGCAACGAGCGCAACCCUCGUUCUAUGUUGCCAGCGGGUAAUGCCGGGAACUCAUAGGAGACUGCCGGGGUCAACUCGGAGGAAGGUGGGGAUGACGUCAAGUCCUCAUGCCCCUUAUAUCUUGGGCUGCAAACAUGCUACAAUGGCCGGUACAGAGGGCUGCGAGACCGCAAGGUGGAGCGAAUCUCAAAAAGCCGGUCUCAGUUCGGAUUGGGGUCUGCAACUCGACCCCAUGAAGUCGGAGUCGCUAGUAAUCGCGAAUCAGCAACGUCGCGGUGAAUACGUUCCCGGGCCUUGUACACACCGCCCGUCACGUCACGAAAGUUGGCAACACCCGAAGCCGGUGGCCUAACCCGCAAGGGAGGGAGCCGUCGAAGUGGGGCCAGCGAUUGGGACGAAGUCGUAACAAGGUAAC
rnacentral:rRNA from 1 species